rnacentral:rRNA from 1 species
AGCGAACGCUGGCGGCGUACUUAACACAUGCAAGUCGAACGGGGAUCAUCGGUGUAGCAAUACAUCGGCGGUCCUAGUGGCGCACGGGUGAGUAACACGUGGGUAACCUGUCCUUGAGUUCGGGAUACCCUCUCGAAAGGGAGGCUAAUACCGGAUACGUUCCCCGGAUUGCGAAAUCUAGGGAGGAAAGGCGGCGCAAGCUGCCGCUCUUGGAGGGGCUCGUGGCCUAUCAGCUAGUUGGUGAGGUAAUGGCUCACCAAGGCUAUGACGGGUAGCUGGUCUGAGAGGACGACCAGCCACACGGGAACUGAGACACGGUCCCGACACCUACGGGUGGCUG